CCGCCUCCCGGACAGGCCUGGCGCGGGAGCGCACCCGCGAGCCCCGGGAGAGCCUGGCCGCCUCUCGCGGUGGCCGCCCGAACCUGCGGAGCCGGCCGUCCCGACGACGCGACCCGGGCGCCCAGAUCCUGUUUUAGGUGCUGGGGGUAGAGCAGUAACUGAGACAGAAAUAGGCCCAGUCUUCAUUUGGGGAGACACACAAUAAGCAGAUUAUUGGCUAUGCCAUUUCACACCCCCUGGGACGGCUAUAAUCAAAAACACAGAAAACACGUGUUGACAAGGAUGUGGAGACAUUGGAAUCCUCACACAUCGCUGCUGGGACCAUAAAAUGGUUCAGCCACUGUGGAAUAUAGUGUAGCGGGCCCUCAGAAAGUUAAACAUAGAGUUACCGAAUGACCCAGCAAUUCCACUCCUUGGCAUAUUAAAAAGAAGUACUUAAACAAGUACAUGUAUAUGCUUGUUUAUAGCAGCACUUUUCACAGAGGCAAAAGGUGGGAACAGUGCGCAUAAACAGAAGAAUGGAUAAACAAAUUGUGUUCAUACACAAGAUGAAUAUAAUUCCGCUGCAGAAAGGACUGAAGGAGUGACAUAUAUUACCAUGUAAUGAACCUCAAAAAUAUGUUAAAUGAAAGAAGCUACUUAUAUGAAAUAUCCAGAAGAGGUGGCUCUAUAGAGACAGAAUGCAGACUGGUAGUUACCAAGGCCGGUGGGGGGAGGUGGGGGUGAUGAGAUAGGAGAAAGUGCUUAAUGGGUACAGGAUACAUCACCUUUUGGGGGUGAUGAGAUGGUUUGGAACUAGGUAAAGGUAUUGGUUGCACAACAUUGUGAAUCCACUAAAUGCCACUGAAUUGUUCACUUUAAGAUGGUUUAAUUUUAUGUUAUACAACUUUCACCUCAAUGGUAAAAAGACAAGAUUGGCUAGCACCCCACAGAUGAGCUGAAGAAACUAGGACCUCAUUAUCCUCUCAAAUGUCUGUGCCUCUGUAACUCCAAACAGCAGCUCUACACCAGUCUUUGUACAAUUCCUAGGUUGUCUCACAUCAACUUGAAGAAAACCUAUCUUGGACAAAAGUGAAAGAUCUGGGCAGCGAUUGUUAAUGGAUACAAAGUUACUUUUUGGUUGAUGAAAAUGUUUUCAAUUUAUACUGUGAUGGUUGCACAACCCUGUGAUUAUACUAAAACCCACUGAAUUGGGUGAAUUUUAUGGUAAAUAAAUUACAUCUCAAUAAAGCUAUUCU